rnacentral:rRNA from 1 species
GACGAACGCUGGCGGCGUGCUUAACACAUGCAAGUCGAACGGAAAGGCCUGCUUUCCCUUGUGGAUUGCGGGUACUCGAGUGGCGAACGGGUUAGUAACACGUGAGUGAUCUGCCCCCAACUUGGGUAUAAGCCUGGGAAACUGGGUCUAAUUCCCGAUAGGACUGCAGGGUGGUGCCUGUGGUGGAAAACGAUUUUCUAGUGGUUGGGGAUGAGCUCGCGGCCUAUCAGCUUGUUGGUGGGGUAAUGGCCUACCAAGGCGGCGACGGGUAGCCGGCCUGAGAGGGUGGACGGCCACAGUGGGACUGAGAUACGGCCCAGACUCCUACGGGAGGCAGCAGUGGGGAAUAUUGCACAAUGGGCGGAAGCCUGAUGCAGCGACGCCGCGUGGGGGAUGACGGCCUUCGGGUUGUAAACUCCUUUCGACCGCGAGGAAGCCACCUGGUUGGAAGGGUGGUGACGGUAGUGGUAGAAGAAGCACCGGCUAACUACGUG